rnacentral:tRNA from 1 species
GGGUAUAUAGCUCAGUGGUAGAGCACAUGCUUAACAUGCAUGAGGUCCUAGUACCCA